rnacentral:rRNA from 1 species
UGUUCGCCAAUUUAAAAAAGAAGGUAACGUGAGCUGGGUUUAAAACGUCGUGAGACAGUUUGGUCCCUAUCUGCCGUGGGCGUUGGAAGUUUGAAGGGGGCUGCUCCUAGUACGAGAGGACCGGAGUGGACGAACCUCUGGUGUACCGGUUGUGACGCCAGUCGCAUCGCCGGGUAGCUAUGUUCGGAAGAGAUAACCGCUGAAAGCAUCUAAGCGGGAAACUCGCCUUAAGAUGAGACUUCCCCGGGGACUUGAUCCCCUUGAAGGGUCGUUCGAGACCAGGACGUUGAUAGGUCGGGUGUGUAAGCGCAGUAAUGCGUUCAGCUAACCGAUACUAAUUGCCCGUACGGCUUGAUCCUAUAACA